GCGCGUNGCGGCNAGUCNGAUGUGAAAGCCCGGGGCUCAACCCCGGUACUGCAUUGGAAACUGUCGUACUUGAGUAUCGGAGAGGUAAGUGGAAUUCCUAGUGUAGCGGUGAAAUGCGUAGAUAUUAGGAGGAACACCAGUGGCGAAGGCGGCUUACUGGACGAUAACUGACGCUGAGGCUCGAAAGCGUGGGGAGCAAACAGGAUUAGAUACCCUGGUAGUCCACGCCGUAAACGAUGAGUACUAGGUGUCGGGGGACAUAGUCCUUCGGUGCCGCAGCAAACGCAAUAAGUAUUCCACCUGGGGAGU
rnacentral:rRNA from 1 species